rnacentral:rRNA from 1 species
GACGAACGCUGGCGGCGUGCUUAACACAUGCCAGUCGAACGAUGAACCCGGAGCUUGCUCUGGGGGAUUAGUGGCGAACGGGUGAGUAACACGUGAGUAACCUGCCCUGGACUCUGGGAUAAGCGUUGGAAACGACGUCUAAUACCGGAUAGGACCUUGGAUCGCAUGAUCUGGGGUGGAAAGUUUUUUCGGUCUGGGAUGGACUCGCGGCCUAUCAGCUUGUUGGUGAGGUAAUGGCUCACCAAGGCGUCGACGGGUAGCCGGCCUGAGAGGGUGACCGGCCACACUGGGACUGAGACACGGCCCAGACUCCUACGGGAGGCAGCAGUGGGGAAUAUUGCACAAUGGGCGAAAGCCUGAUGCAGCAACGCCGCGUGCGGGAUGACGGCCUUCGGGUUGUAAACCGCUUUUAGUAGGGAAGAAGGGCUUCGGCUUGACGGUACCUGCAGAAGAAGGACCGGCUAACUACGUG